GUUAUAUAUAAGAUAAGUUAAUCUGUGGGCUUGUGGGGCCCUAAAUACCGUAGGUUUGUAACA
rnacentral:tRNA from 1 species